ACGCACGCUGGCGGCGUGCUUAACACCUGCAAGUCGAACGGAAAGGCCCUGCUUUUGUGGGGUGCUCGAGUGGCGAACGGGUGAGUAACACGUGAGUAACCUGCCCUUGACUUUGGGAUAACUUCAUGAAACUGGGGCUAAUACCGGAUAGGAGCUCCUGCUGCCUGGUGGGGGUUGGAAAGUUUCGGCGGUUGGGGAUGGACUCGCGGCUUAUCAGCUUGUUGGUGGGGUAGUGGCUUACCAAGGCUUUGACGGGUAGCCGGCCUGAGAGGGUGACCGGCCACAUUGGGACUGAGAUACGGCCCAGACUCCUACGGGAGGCAGCAGUGGGGAAUAUUGCACAAUGGGCGGAAGCCUGAUGCAGCAACGCCGCGUGCGGGAUGACGGCCUUCGGGUUGUAAACCGCUUUCGCCUGUGACGAAGCGUGAGUGACGGUAAUGGGUAAAGAAGCACCGGCUAACUACGUG
rnacentral:rRNA from 1 species